UACGUAGGGUGCGAGCGUUGUCCGGAAUUAUUGGGCGUAAAGGGCUCGUAGGCGGUUUGUCGCGUCGGGAGUGAAAUCCACUGGCUUAACUGGUGGCUUGCUUCGAUACGGGCAGACUGGAGGUAUGCAGGGGAGACUGGAAUUCCUGGUGUAGCGGUGAAAUGCGCAGAUAUCAGGAGGAACACCGGUGGCGAAGGCGGGUCUCUGGGCCGGUACCGACGCUGAGGAGCGAAAGCGUGGGGAGCGAACAGG
rnacentral:rRNA from 1 species